CUCUGGAGAGACACCCCGCUCUGGGCAGCAGCUGUCUCCCCUUGGUGAUCAGGACGGAGUACACACAGCUCACCAUGGAGCUGGUGUUGAGCUGGGUUGUAUUUAUCACUAUGUUAAAAGGUGUCCAGGCUGAGGUGCAGCUGGUGGAGUCCGGGGGAGGCUUGGUGCAGCCUGGCGGGUCCCUGAGACUCUCCUGUGCAGCCUCAGGAUUCACCUUCAGUGACCACUACAUGUACUGGAUCCGCCAGGCUCCAGGAAAGGGACUGGAGUGGGUUGGAGUUAUUAGAAACAAGGCUAACAGUCACACCACGGAAUACGCUACAUCUGUGAAAGGCCGAUUCACCAUCUCCAGGGAUGACUCCAAGAGCACGCUGUAUCUGCAAAUGACUCAACUGAAAACCGAGGACACGGCCGUGUAUUACUGUGCAAGAGACACAGUGAGAGGGCGUCAGUGGGAGCCCAGACCUAAACCUUCCUGUUGUGAUGCUCGGGACCAGCAGGUGGCGCUCAGGACACACUGA